rnacentral:rRNA from 1 species
UUUCAAGUCUUUAAGAGCAAACGGUGGAUGCCUUGGCAUCUGGAGCCGAAGAAGGACGUAGCAAUCUGCGAUAAGCCUCGGGGAGUGGAUAAGCACACUUUGAUCCGAGGGUCUCCGAAUGGGGAAACCCCGCUGGGCGGCGUGCCGACCCAGUGACUCCCGCCUGAAUAUAUAGGGCGGGUAGAGGGAACGUGGGGAAGUGAAACAUCUCAGUACCCACAGGAAGAGAAAGCAACCGCGAUUCCGUUAGUAGUGGCGAGCGAAACCGGAACAGGCUAAACCGAGUACGUGUGAUAUCCGGCAGGAGUUGCGUAUUCGGGGUUGUGGGACUUUUCAGGCUGUUCUGCCGAGCAGCCGGCGUUACAAGAAGGUAUAGACGAACCGCAUUGAAAGGCGGGUCAUAGAGGGUGCCAACCCCGUAGUCGAAAUGCCUCCCUUGACGCGAAGAGUAUCCCAAGUAGCACGGGGCCCGAGAAAUCCCGUGUGAAUCUGUCAGGACCACCUGAUAAGCCUAAAUACUCCCAGAUGACCGAUAGCGGACAAGUACCGUGAGGGAAAGGUGAAAAGUACCCCGGGAGGGGAGUGAAAUAGUACCUGAAACCGUUUGCUUACAAACCGUUGGAGCAGCCCUAGCAGCUGUGACAGCGUGCCUUUUGAAGAAUGAGCCUGCGAGUUAGCGAUACGUGGCGAGGUUAACCCGAGAGGGGUAGCCGUAGCGAAAGCGAGUCUGAAUAGGGCGAUUCAGUCGCGUGUCCUAGACCCGAAGCGAAGUGAUCUAUCCAUGGCCAGGUUGAAGCGACGGUAAGACGUCGUGGAGGACCGAACCCACUUAGGUUGAAAACUGAGGGGAUGAGCUGUGGAUAGGGGUGAAAGGCCAAUCAAACUUCGUGAUAGCUGGUUCUCUCCGAAAUGCAUUUAGGUGCAGCGUUGCGUGUUUCUUGCCGGAGGUAGAGCUACUGGAUGGCCGAUGGGCCCCAAAAGGUUACUGACGUCAGCCAAACUCCGAAUGCCGGUAAGUGAGAGCGCAGCAGUGAGACUGUGGGGGAUAAGCUUCAUAGUCGAGAGGGAAACAACCCAGACCACCAACUAAGGUCCCAAAGCGCGUGCUAAGUGGAAAAGGAUGUGGAGUUGCUGUGACAACCAGGAGGUUGGCUUAGAAGCAGCCACCCUUGAAAGAGUGCGUAAUAGCUCACUGGUCAAGUGAUUCCGCGCCGACAAUGUAACGGGGCUCAAGCACGCCACCGAAGUUGUGGCAUUGACAUUAUUGGUAGGCCUUCGUGGUCCAGCCGUGUUGAUGGGUAGGAGAGCGUCGUGUGGCGAGUGAAGCGGCGGUGUGAACCAGCCGUGGACGCUACACGAGUGAGAAUGCAGGCAUGAGUAGCGAAAGACGUGUGAGAAACACGUCCUCCGAAAGACCAAGGGUUCCAGGGUCAAGCUAAUCUUCCCUGGGUAAGUCGGGACCUAAGGCGAGGCCGACAGGCGUAGUCGAUGGACAACGGGUUGAUAUUCCCGUACCGGCGAAGAACCGCCCAAGCUAAUCCAGUGGUGCUAAGAGUCCUAACUCGGAAUGUACGGAUCCCUUCGGGGUGAAGACGUCCGAGCGAACGCUCGACCCCAUGCUGGUGCGGCUAGCGUAUUAACAGGUGUGACGCAGGAAGGUAGCCCAACCCGGGCGAUGGUUGUCCCGGGGCAAGUGCGUAGGCCGAGAGAUAGGCAAAUCCGUCUCUCACAUAGGCUGAGACACGAUGCGGAUAAAAAGUGGGUGAUCCUAUGCUGCCAAGAAAAGCAUCGACGCGAGGUUCUAGCCGCCCGUACCCCAAACCGACUCAGGUGGUCAGGUAGAGAAUACCAAGGAGAUCGAGAGAAUCGUGGUUAAGGAACUCGGCAAAAUGCCCCCGUAACUUCGGGAGAAGGGGGGCCUUCGACGUAUUAGGACUUGCUCCGAAAGCGUUUGGAGGCCGCAGAGACUAGUGGGUAGCGACUGUUUACUAAAAACACAGGUCCGUGCCAAGUCGCAAGACGAUGUAUACGGACUGACGCCUGCCCGGUGCUGGAAGGUUAAGAGGACCGGUUAGCCGCAAGGCGAAGCUGAGAAUUUAAGCCCCAGUAAACGGCGGUGGUAACUAUAACCAUCCUAAGGUAGCGAAAUUCCUUGUCGGGUAAGUUCCGACCUGCACGAAUGGCGUAACGACUUCCCAACUGUCUCAACCGCGAACUCGGCGAAAUUGCAUUACGAGUAAAGAUGCUCGUUACGCGCAGCAGGACGGAAAGACCCCGUGACCUUUACUACAGCUUGGUAUUGGUGUUCGGUGUGGCUUGUGUAGGAUAGGUGGGAGACUUUGAAGCAUGGACGCCAGUUCAUGUGGAGUCAUUGUUGAAAUACCACUCUGGUCACUCUGGAUAUCUAACUUCGAACCGUAAUCCGGUUCAGGGACAGUGCCUGGUGGGUAGUUUAACUGGGGCGGUUGCCUCCCAAAAAGUAACGGAGGCGCCCAAAGGUUCCCUCAACCUGGUUGGCAAUCAGGUGGCGAGUGUAAGUGCACAAGGGAGCUUGACUGUGAGACUGACAGGUCGAGCAGGGACGAAAGUCGGGACUAGUGAUCCGGCAGUGGCUUGUGGAAGCGCUGUCGCUCAACGGAUAAAAGGUACCUCGGGGAUAACAGGCUGAUCUUGCCCAAGAGUCCAUAUCGACGGCAUGGUUUGGCACCUCGAUGUCGGCUCGUCGCAUCCUGGGGCUGGAGUAGGUCCCAAGGGUUGGGCUGUUCGCCCAUUAAAGCGGUACGCGAGCUGGGUUUAGAACGUCGUGAGACAGUUCGGUCCCUAUCCGCUGCGCGCGUAGGAAGUUUGAGAGGAUCUGACCCUAGUACGAGAGGACCGGGUUGGACGAACCUCUGGUGUGUCAGUUGUUCCGCCAGGAGCACCGCUGAUUAGCUACGUUCGGGAUGGAUAACCGCUGAAAGCAUCUAAGCGGGAAGCCGGCCUCAAGAUGAGACUUCCAUGCCUUCGGGCGAGAGGCUCCCAGCCAGACUACUGGGUUGAUAGGCCGGAUGUGGAAGCGCGGUAACGCGUGAAGCUGACCGGUACUAAUAAGCCGAUGACUUGAUAAC